rnacentral:rRNA from 1 species
CCUACGGGGAGCAGCAGUGGGGGAUAUUGGACAAUGGGGGGAACCCUGAUCCAGCGACGCCGCAUGAGUGAAGAAGUAUCUCGGUAUGUAAAGCUCUAUCAGCAGGGAAGAAGAAAUGACGGUACCUGAGUAAGAAGCCCCGGCUAACUACGUGCCAGCAGCCGCGGUAAUACGUAGGGGGCAAGCGUUAUCCGGAAUUACUGGGUGUAAAGGGAGCGUAGACGGCAGCACAAGUCUGGAGUGAAAUGCCGGGGCUUAACCCCGGAACUGCUUUGGAAACUGUGCAGCUAGAGUGCAGGAGAGGUAAGUGGAAUUCCUAGUGUAGCGGUGAAAUGCGUAGAUAUUAGGAGGAACACCAGUGGCGAAGGCGGCUUACUGGACUGUAACUGACGUUGAGGCUCGAAAGCGUGGGGAGCAAACAGGAUUAGAUACCCUUGUAGUC